rnacentral:rRNA from 1 species
CCUACGGGAGGCAGCAGUAGGGAAUCUUUCACAAUGGGCGAAAGCCUGAUGGAGCAACGCCGCGUGCAGGAUGAAGGCCUUCGGGUUGUAAACUGCUUUUAUAAGCGAGAAAUAUGAUGGUAACUUAUGAAUAAGGAUCGGCUAACUACGUGCCAGCAGCCGCGGUCAUACGUAGGAUCCGAGCAUUAUCCGGAGUGACUGGGUGUAAAGAGUUGCGUAGGUGGCAUAAUAAGUAGCUAGUGAAAUCUGGUGGCUCAACCAUUCAGACUAUUAGCUAAACUGUUAAGCUCGAGACCGUUAGGGGUAACUGGAAUUUCUAGUGUAGGAUUGAAAUCCGUAGAUAUUAGAAGGAACACCAAUAGCGUAGGCAGGUUGCUGGGACGGUUCUGACACUAAGGCACGAAAGCGUAGGGAGCAAACGGGAUUAGAUACCCCUGUAGUC